CUUUCAAAAUAAAACAGGAAACAGAAACAAGACAGAACAAGGACCAAAAACAAGACAACAAGUUCAAAUCAUGACACAGGGUGCUGUAAAAGAUGGGGAAACCUUAUCCACACCUUACCUGACAACACUUUCAACAGACUCAAGAUCCCUCAUGACCCUGAGCAGAAGGAAGCCGACAUGAAAAACUCUUGAAUGAAUGAAUGAUUGAAAACAUUUGGGAUCAUGAUCUAUUUCAUGACAUUCAGUGACACAGAGAUUAGAAUAUUUUUACCCACCAAAAACUCUGUAUUGUGAAAAUAAAAAGGAUCAGAAUUUAUGAUAUAAGAAAAUAUCAUUGUGUUAUUUAGCAGAAAAAAGUUACUUUGUCAUUUUGCUUAUACAACACAUGUAGAAUACGAUUUUUCCUGGAAUACAAAUGUAAGGCUAGCAGUGCAAAUAUAACAGGGAGGGUGUGAAAAAAUAUAUUAAUAUAGGAAGCUGUAAGAGGGAAUAUUCAUAUAAACAUAAAAACCUUUAAAAAAAUUUGUAUCUAAAAAAAAAAAAAAAGAAGUUUGCAGUCUAAAUGUGUUUUAUGCACUCUAGGAUUAUAAGGCCCACUGUCCAUGAAUGGUCUAUUUUUGAGGCACACCAUACUGUAAGGCAUAUAUGAGGCCAUAUAAGUGACAAAAGACUCAUAAAUCCGUCAGUCGGUCAGACUUUAUUAGAGUAAUGUGUUUUUUGUAACUCUAGGGUUACGUCCAAAUUCCCUCCCUAAUCCAUACAUAGUGCGUUCGCCAUUUUGUAGUGCUGUCCGAAUCUACAAUUCCCUAAUCAAGUGCCCUAAAACUGGUGUGCAUCGAUGCUUACUAGACAGACGAAUAUACAAUACAAUUUUUGCACAAAAAAAAAAGGAUUUCAAUGUAUUUUUUUAAUAACUCAUCGUUUUUUUGCUUCAGAAGACAGUGGACUCAUAAAUAACGUAAAACGCUCAUGUUAAUCAAAUUUUAACUUCCUGAGAUCAAUGAUGUAAUAUCCGCCGUAAAAAUAAAAUAAAAUAGUGAGCAUGGUGUUCGAAUUGCUUUUACAACAACUGGAAGCUUCCAAUUUUAUUUGCAGUCAUGUAAAAUAAUAGACUGAUACCACUAAAACCAAUGUUACUUUGAUUAAACUAACUACAAACCUUUUAGUAACAUGUAAAUAAAACAGUUUAACACGCUACAUAGUAGCUGUGUUAGCCUAUUCACAAUAACACCCAACUUUGUUUGCAACAUUUAAAAAUGCAGAUACAUCUAAAACAAAUGUUAUUGCGACUAAGCUAACUCCCAACUUUGUAACGCAUAAAAAAAACUACACACAAAAUCACGCUGCUACUCAGUGCGUUAGCAAAUUUAUAAUAACACCCAACCUUAUUCGCAACACGUAAAAAACACAGAUUGAUACCGCUAAAACGUUAGGCCUACUGUAAUUACUUCAAUUCCUAUACGUAAAAACAAACAAAAAAAAAAAAA